rnacentral:lncRNA from 1 species
AUGCAGGUUUGGGAUGCCCAGAGAAGAAAACGGAGCAAAGAGGCGAGCGCUGCCACAGCUCCGGCCCGGGUAGGCCCUGCCCGGCCCCGCCGAGCCCGGGGCGGCCUCGGGUCGGUGCCCCCGGCUGGGGGGACCCCCGGGGAAGCCCGACCCGGCCGAGGGGCGCCGUGGAGGCCCCGCUGCCUGCCGAGGAGCUGCCGCCCGGCCCCGCCGCGCAGCCACAGCGCGGCCCUGGAGGGGCGGAGGCGCUGCCGGAGGUGCCUGGGGGGGAGCGGGCGGGCGCCGAGGGAGCGCAGGGACGGAGACCGCAGCUCGUCCCCGGCUCUGUCCGUGAAAUCCGUGCCAUGCAGCAGCGUUGGGAGCGCCGCCGUGAACCAGCCACCCAGCCCGCUGCAUUUAGGCUGGUGCCUGCAUCGUCACAGGAGUGCCAUGAAGGUGUACAUGUGGGGAGAGCCUCGGCGGACUGAACUUCAGGAUCACACUUGAAAGCAGUGGAACGAGGGGUGUCCGUAUGAGCACGUUAACGUAAAAGACCAAUCCAAAAAGAAGCUCUUCAACUCCUUUUUUUUUUUUUUUUUUUUUUUUCUGCGUGACUCCUAAUGUCUUUGCAUUCUGCAGGAGCUGCUGAGACACCCAAGCACCUCAGUUCUUUGUACCUUCCACGGCCGGAACACUGGUGUUCGUUGUACCUGAUACUGGCUCCCAGUGAGCGCAUUUUAAUUGUAAUAAAACACAAACUGAACCAUAUGUGCA